CCUACGGGAGGCAGCAGUGGGGAAUAUUGGGCAAUGGGCGCAAGCCUGACCCAGCAACGCCGCGUGAAGGAAGAAGGCUUUCGGGUUGUAAACUUCUUUUCUCAGGGACGAAGAAAGUGACGGUACCUGAGGAAUAAGCCACGGCUAACUACGUGCCAGCAGCCGCGGUAAUACGUAGGGGGCAAGCGUUAUCCGGAUUUAUUGGGUGUAAAGGGCGUGUAGGCGGGAGCGCAAGUCAGAUGUGAAAACUCAGGGCUCAACCCUGAGCCUGCAUUGGAAACUGUGUUUCUUGAGUGCUGGGGAGGCAGUCGGAAUUCCGUGUGUAGCGGUGAAAUGCGUAGAUAUACGGAGGAACACCAGUGGCGAAGGCGGAUUGCUGGACAGUAACUGACGCUGAGGCGCGAAAGCGUGGGUAGCAAACAGGAUUAGAUACCCUGGUAGUC
rnacentral:rRNA from 1 species